rnacentral:tRNA from 1 species
GGGCGCGUAGCUCAGCUGGUUAGAGCGCUGCCUUCACACGGCAGAGGUCAGGGGUUCGAGUCCCUUCGCGCCCA